rnacentral:lncRNA from 1 species
GACAGAGACGCAAGAGAGUUCAACAUCAACAUGACUAACAUGCCAUGGCUUGCAAUCCCUUACGAGGACAGAACAAGACAAGAUCUCUGUAGAAUCUUCAACAUCAAACUCAUACCUGCAUUGGUCAUCAUAGGACCUGAGGAGAAAACAGUGUGCACAAACGCGAGAGAAAUGGUGUCGCUGUAUGGAUCUAGGAGUUAUCCAUUCACGGAGUCCAGGGUUGCUGAGUUAGAAGCUUGUUUGAAGAAAGAAGGUGACUCGUUUCCGAGGAAAGUGAAAGAUAAGAAACAUGAGCAUGAGCUAAAGCUGGAUAUGGCAAAAGGUUAUGUGUGUGAUUUUUGUAAGAAGCAAGGUAAGUUUUGGGCGUUUUCUUGUGAUGCUUGUGAUUAUGAUCUUCAUCCUACUUGUGUGGAAGAACAAGAAGAACAGUGAUUUGUCUUAAAGAUUUUGUAAGUAAACAAUCAAGAUCUGUUAUGUUCUGAAAUUAAGACUCAGUUAAUGGAACUUUCAUAUCAUUAACAAAUGUGUUAUAGUUUUACAACAGUAUCCAAUAUUUUUUUCUAUGACGAUUAUUACUCUGAUUACCAAAAAGAAUAUUCAAAUAGUCUUCCAUCAAAGCCAUGGUUAGUGUUCUUCCUCUCUGAUGUUUUUUUUUCCCCAACUAUUCUGAUUAAAUUUUGCUGGUUUGGGUUGGUUCUGUUCGGUUUUUUGCCUUUUCUGGUUCAACUUUCUAUUAUAUUUGGUUUUGGUUGAUAACAUUUCAGAUUUGCUUCAUUCAAGAUAUAACUAAAAUCCAUCUUUAGAUUUCAAAUAUUUAUGUUUGAUAGUGUAUUAAAAUAACAAUUGAGUUGAAUAUUAAAAAUAUUUAUUUAUACUUUGAAUAUUUAUUCCCUAUCUAUUUUGCAUACUAUUUGAUUAAAUCUUCUUCAAUUUUUUUUUAGAUUAUUCAAAAUUUUAAUUUAAAAUUUUAAGUAAUUAAUUAGACAUCUGUUUGGUGUUAAUAACAUUUCAGAUUUAGAUAUCUUUUAUAGUUUAACUUACAAGAUCAUUCUUGUAAAUUUUCUCUUUGGAUAUGGAUUAGUUAUUUUUGGUUCGAAUUCGGUUUAGUUAUCCGUAUUCAGUUAUUUUGCCCAUGCCUAUAAUUAUAUUUGUUUCUUUUUACAGCAAACCGGACACCCGGUCAAGUGGUUUUGGAUUGGCCAAUCCGGUUAAAGAUUGCAAGAGGAGUCACAAGAGGCUUAGCUUAUCUCUACAGAACAUUCCCUGAUCUGAACCUCCCUCACGGCCAUCUCAAAUCAUCCAACGUGUUGCUCGACCACGACUUCGAGCCGCUACUAACAGACUACGCCCUCGUGCCAGUGGUCAACAAGGAUCAAUCUCACCAGUUCAUGGUGGCGUACAAGUCACCAGAGUUCACUCAGCAAGACCGAACAUCAAGAAAGUCUGACGUCUGGAGCUUAGGAAUCUUAAUCCUCGAGAUACUGACGGGGAAGUUUCCGGCGAACUAUCUCCGCCAAGGGAAGGGAGCUGAUGACGAGCUAGCUGCAUGGGUCGAGUCAGUAGCGAGAACUGAGUGGAAUGCUGACGUGUUUGACAAGGAGAUGAGAGCAGGGAAAGAACAAGAAGGGCAGAUGCUGAAGCUGCUCAAGAUUGGGUUGAGGUGUUGUGACUGGGACGUAGAGAGGAGAAUGGAGCUUCACGAGGCUGUUGAUCGGAUAGAAGAAGUUGAUCACAGAGAGGCAGGUGGAAGUCAAGAGAGUUUUCGAUCUUCGUACGUGACUGCUAGUGAUGGUGAAAAUCGUUUUUCAAGAGCCAUGACUGGAGAGUUCUCCCUCGUGUAAUAGCUUCUCUGUCUCAUUGAUGUUUGUUGUGUCUAUGUUUGUAGGUAAAAGACUGAUCACCUUUUUUAUUUGCAUUUUUUUAUUUUCUUAGUUAUGGUUGAUGAGUAAGCUUUUGUUUCUCUUUGUGAAUACGCGUGCCCUUUUGUUUGGUAUCAUCUAGACGCAAAAAAAGAAUUUGUCUUUUUAUGAUUUCUUCUUCAACUUGUAUACUGUUGAGAUAAGCAAGAAUAUUAAUUUAUGGUUUCAUUCACAAGCUUUGUUGCUUUAGCUACUCUGGGUAACGUUCCAGCUGGUAGUAUAUUCUUUGAGGAUAUUUUGAUUUUACUUUUACAAGUUUGUUUGAUAGAGACCUUAAUAAAAUUUAUAUCUUUUUAUAUAUAUUUCUUGUCCCCAUGUGACUUUCCUUUAUCCCUUUUUCUUGGAAUUUACAAGCUCUGAGCAACAAGAAUUAAACCUCUGGUGAAAUCUUGUUAAAAUCUACUCUGUACUGAAUUUUGUUUCUGUAUAUCUUCCUCGUACCAAAGGUUAUAUCACUCUAUCUCUCUCUGGUUCAGGUAUGUUGAGUUUUUGCUUGCUACUUUUUCUCUGAACAGGUCUUCUGAUACAGUUCAUCGUCUUUAUAACCUGUUAUAGAUGGUCUGUGUUACAGUUUUUUUUUUCAGUUGUAUAUCCUUGAAGUUCUAUUUUGGGUUUCUGAUGUUUUGAAACUUUUCUUGAUAUUUUUGUAUGUUUGAUCAUCUAAGAUGGAACUUUGGGGGUUUUAAUCACCUGAAACAAAUACUUAGUCUAAUUCUAGACUCAGUCUUCAUGUGUCUCUCAGUCACAAAGCAUGUGAUCUUUGCUUUAGAACCCUUUGGGUUGGAAAAGAAAUAAUAUAGCAUACUCAUACCAUAAGACUAAGGCAGAAGCAUGUCUAUUCUCAUAUUGGUUUAGGUUUCUCUUUCUGAAUAGAAGAAGCAUAAAGAGCACAGUGGUGUUGCAGUUGAGAUGGCAGUAACAGCAGAUUAUCAAGUCCAGUUUCCGGAAAAUGAUGAUAUUUACUCUAUACUAGCAGCUGAAGGGAUUGAGUUCCUUUUGUCACAUAGUGGAGAGGUACCAGUCAUUCUCUCUGUGCUUUAUACCCUCUCAGACUUUUCUAUACUAAGGAACUUUUUAUUAAACGAUAAGCUCACAUCUAUCAGGUACCAUUGGAAUAUAUUCACGGGAAAACGAUCUGUCUCUUCUUCUCUGCAAACUGGUGCAGGCCAUGCAAGGACUUCACUCCAGAGCUGGUAAAGCUCUACGAGAGUCUCCAGAAACGAGGAGAAGAACUCGAGAUCAUCUUCGUCUCAUUUGAUCAUGAUAUGACUUUGUUCUAUGAACACUUCUGGUCCAUGCCAUGGCUCGCAGUUCCCUUCAGUUUAAGCCUACGCAACAAAUUAACUGACAAGUAUAGGGUUGCCCGUAUCCCAUCACUCGUGCCUCUAUAUCCAGAUGAAAUCUCGGUCGCUGAUGACGUCAUUGGUCUGAUUGAAGACUAUGGUCCUGAAGCAUUUCCUUUCACUAAGAAGAGAAAAGAAGAACUCAAAGCCAUCGAUGAAUCCAAGCGCGUUGGAGGACAGUUGGAGAAACUCCUUACACAUGAAACUCGGAGUUAUGUUGUUUCUAGAAAUGGAAGUAAGGUAAGAAAAACCAGAUAGAACCGCACCGCAAUUAAUAACAAAAAUUUCUACAUAUAUAUAUAUCUAUAUGUUUUUGUUACUAUUAAAACCACACCGCAGUUGUUCAGCAUAAUACCAUUCAGACCCCGAGUUAUAACUUCAUCUCUACAUGGUCUCUGAUCAAAUGAUCCUUUAUGAUGAUUAUGUCUAUGAACGAUAUGCAGGUACUAGUUUCUGACCUUGUGGGGAAGACCAUAGGUUUAUACUUUGGUGCACACUGGUGUCCGCCUUUUCGAUCAUUCACUUCUCAGCUCAUAGAUGUCUACAAUGAGCUUACAAUCUCAACAAAAGGCUCCUUUGAAGUCAUCUUAGUCUCAACAGACAGAGACGCAAGAGAGUUCAACAUCAACAUGACUAACAUGCCAUGGCUUGCAAUCCCUUACGAGGACAGAACAAGACAAGAUCUCUGUAGAAUCUUCAACAUCAAACUCAUACCUGCAUUGGUCAUCAUAGGACCUGAGGAGAAAACAGUGUGCACAAACGCGAGAGAAAUGGUGUCGCUGUAUGGAUCUAGGAGUUAUCCAUUCACGGAGUCCAGGGUUGCUGAGUUAGAAGCUUGUUUGAAGAAAGAAGGUGACUCGUUUCCGAG